CAGUCGCCACGGGAAUACGAAGGGGGCUAGCGUUGUUCGGAAUUACUGGGCGUAAAGGGCGCGUAGGCGGCCAUUCAAGUUAGAUGUGAAAGCCCUGGGCUCAACCUAGGAAUUGCAUUUGAUACUGUUUGGCUUGAGUUCGGGAGAGGUGAGUGGAAUUCCCAGUGUAGAGGUGAAAUUCGUAGAUAUUGGGAAGAACACCAGUGGCGAAGGCGGCUCACUGGACCGACACUGACGCUGAGGCGCGAAAGCGUGGGGAGCAAACAGGACUAGAUACCCCGCGUAGUCCCUGUCUCUUAUA
rnacentral:rRNA from 1 species